UACAAUUGCUUGAUGCGGGUGGUCCUUCU
rnacentral:piRNA from 1 species